rnacentral:lncRNA from 1 species
ACCAUGGAUUGGAUGAGGAAGUCUGAGCAUGGUUCCCUCCACCUCCCUGCCUCAAGACCUCGUGAUUCCACUCGAGGGAGACAGAGCUGUCCCCAUGUGUUGGAAUGUGAACAGGAGAAUGGAAUAAAUAUAUCUAUCCAUUCUUUUAUGGAGGAUUGCCGGUUUCAUUAACAAAGUUACAACAACAGUACAGUCUCCAUUACGGGGCC